AACUGCAUCCAAAACUAUUAGGCUAGAGUGUGGGAGAGGAAGAUGGAAUUAGUUGUGUAGGGGUAAAAUCCGUAGAGAUAACUAGGAAUACCAAAAGCGAAGGCAAUCUUCUGGAACAUUACUGACGCUGAGGCGCGAAAGCGUGGGGAGCAAACAGGAUUAGAUACCCUGGUAGUCCACGCCCUAAACGAUGAAUGUUAGUCGUCGGGUAGCUAGUCUAUUCGGUGAUGCAGCUAACGCAUUAAACAUUCCGCCUGGGGAGUACGGUCGCAAGAUUAAAACUCAAAGGAAUAGACGGGGACCCGCACAAGUGGUGGAGCAUGUGGUUUAAUUCGAAGAUACGCGAAGAACCUUACCUAGCCUUGACAUAUAUUAGAACUCAGCAGAGAUGCAGAGGUGCCUUCGGGAGCUUUUAUACAGGUGCUGCACGGCUGUCGUCAGCUCGUGUCGUGAGAUGUUGGGUUAAGUCCCGCAACGAGCGCAACCCUCGUCACUAGUUACUAACGGUUCGGCCGAGGACUCUAGUGAGACUGCCUUCGUAAGGAGGAGGAAGGUGAGGACGACGUCAAGUCAUCAUGGCCCUUACGGCUAGGGCAACACACGUGCUACAAUGGCCAGGACAGUGAGACGCAAUACCGCGAGGUGGAGCAAAUCUAUAAACCUGGCCUCAGUUCGGAUUGUAGUCUGCAACUCGACUACAUGAAGCUGGAAUCACUAGUAAUCGUAGAUCAGCUAUGCUACGGUGAAUACGUUCCCGGGUCUUGUACUCACCGCCCGUCACACCAUGGGAGUUGAUUUCACCCGA
rnacentral:rRNA from 1 species